UAUUGAGGUUAGAAUAUGCCCAUGAUAGUUUGAUAAGAAAGAAGCUCAUAAGUUAGGAAUGCUCCACCAAAUUACUUUUUUUAAUUGCUUUCAAACCUCUUUCUUCGAAGUUAAUUACUAAUACAUUAAGACUCUGCCAAGUGUUUUUAUUGAUAACUUUAAGUUGAAUGUUCACAUAUGUUCAAUGGGUGCAGCUAUAGAAAGUUCGAAUUCAUAAGAUAAUAAAUUUAACACUACUAGAUUAAGUAACACAACUAGAUUAAGUAUUUAUAUUCGUGCAUUCAUUAUAUACAAUUUAAUUAAUUUUACAUAAAUUUCGAUAAAAAUAUUUAAUCUAACGAUUAUUAUACUUUUUACUAUGUAAGGUCUAGCUUGCAUUAAAUACACUCAUGUUCAAUUACUUAUAAUUAUCAAAUAGUUGCAGUGUGCUUGAUGUGAUAUUUGAUAAUUUUUUUUUGAUAAAUUGUAAUAAUAGAUUAUUUGCUUCUAUUUAUUGACUUGCAUUUAUUUCUUAAAUGGAAAAGAGUUUUCCUCAUUCAGGAGUAAUGAGGAACGCUACUGCCGGCAGCCAGCCGGCCGGCCGGGGACAUGGCAACGGAAAAUGCUAGAAGCGAUGCCAUUUCUGAGGGCUGAUGAGCAAUGUUUCUGAAAUAGUUUCUUGGAGAUGAUGAUAAAAUCUCAGUUAUAUUUGAUGUUUCUAUAAUGAACGAAGGACACAAGAAAACUUUCAACUAUCAACAGGAAACUGUUGUUAUUAUUCUAAAGGAACAAGUUCAUUUAAUAUAUGCUAUGUCAUUUGAGAAAUAUGAGCUCUGUAUCUGAUUUGAGUUUGUAACACUCAUAUUCUAAAUUAACUUUAGAAAAUGGAUAUAACAAAUUUUAAUUAUUAAAUUAUGAAAAUAAAUGUUGGAG
rnacentral:misc_RNA from 1 species